rnacentral:lncRNA from 1 species
GGAAAAUGGCAGUAUUCCCACAUUUCAACGGAAAUUAAAUACAGGACCGUUGGUUUGUUGUAGCAUGAAAUGUUGGAAUCUUGGUGUUACGCAACUUGAUCUUCUACAUAUUGAUAAUAUUUAUCUAUUGAUUAUUGGUGAAAAUAUUCUUCAAACAUGAUAACGUUAUACGUUGGGGAACUUGAUCUCCUACUCGUGUCCAACUGUCAAUGAUUAUAAUUAUAUAUACAGAACUAUUAAAUUAAAUUUCCAUUAAUUUGUUUUCUUGUUUCGUGUUGGGGAGAGAGAGAGAGAGAGGCCUGGUCAUUAAUUUUUAUUUUCUUUUACAAAAAUGUGGAUAUUGGGGUUAGAAAUUCCGCCUCCGAUAACAGUUCACAUGUAUUUCCAGAUACCAAAAAUCAAACUACAAGACAUUAAAAUUUUGAAAUAUCUAGUAUCAAACCCUAAUAAAUAAUUGAAUGUCGAAACUUUUUCCUUAAAAGUCCCAACAUUAUUAAACUGACUUGUUAUUCUCCUUUUUUUGUCGAGUAUAAUAAUGAGAUGUCGCCAGUUAAUAGUUAAAACUAAGGUUGUUGAUAAUAUAGUAUAAGCUUAUCCAAUUUAUAACCUCUAAAGGUAUAAAUAAAUUUGCUUGCUUCUAAUAUCUUUGGGGUCAGGUAAACAAUCAUAAAUGAAUUAAAAACAACCUUUAACAAAUCAAAACUUUCAGGAUCAGGAUGCCACAUCUCAGCAACAAGGAGACCUUAAAUCUUCAUAUUAACUAGUACGCUCUCCCGUGCGAUGCACGGGUUACGAUUACACUAAAGCAUCAAUAUAACUAAAUUAAUAGCCGUCAUUUAAUAUAAUAAUUUUGGCUCGUAAAAGUCCAAAUCGUAUAUUAUUAAAUUGUUAUAUAAAUAAAUAAAUAAUUUGUACACAUAAUUAAAUUAAUAUAUAUAAUAUUUUAAAUUCUAAUUUUAAAAUAUAUAACUAAUAUUUUA